AAUUUCAUAGACCAAUAGUAAGUUAUCAAAUCAUCACAUUGAGGUAGCCAAAGCAAAAUUAGGCUACACAUAAGUUAACAACAUCCCACAGAGCUAGGAUAGAUUGGCAAUUCAAUUUCCAUCAGUAUCUGUCCCUAUUGAUGUAUUUCCUCCUGUCCUAAUCAGCGUAGAAUAGACUAUCAAACAAGGCAACAUAAUAAAAAAUAUGCAUGGCAUUAUACAUUUCCAUUAUUGGAAGUGAUAAAGACUAAACUAAUUCAACAGAUGCAAAACAUUAAACAUGCAUGCGUUGAGCAGGGCAUUUUCACAACUAUGUGGAGAACAAUUCUUGAAUUGCCCCUCUUAUAGUGCCAAGGGGUAAAUUCUUUGUUAGGAAAUUAAUGGGUGAAGAAGGGCCGCAGCUAAAAUAAAAUUGGAAGAAAAUAAAGAAUAAAGAAUAAACACAAAAGAGGACAUCAGGAAAUUACGUGGUUCAGCUUUUAGCCUACGUCUACGGACGAAGACAAAAGGAAAAUAUUUCACUAGUAAAAUGAGGAUUACAAGUAUUGUAAUAUUUUGGCUCACUACCCAGAACCCCAAUACACCCAAUCUCUCAAAUCACUAAAACAAGAGUUUAAAACUCUAACACUCUCAACUCUCAAUUCUUUUCACAAAUGAAUUAGAGAGCUCUAAGAUUUUGGAUGAAUGAAACGAAAUGAGGAGCUCCCUUUUAUAACUAAAUAUUGACUAUUAAAAUAAUAAUUCUUUUUCUUCCAUUUUGGAGUGCCAACCACCAUUUAUAGAUUCUUCUUUCUUCCUUGUCAAAGUUUCCCUUUUCUUUUUUUUAUUUCCUUGGGCGACACUUCCUUGGACUUCAAUUUGGGUGCCCAAUUUGAAAAAUGUUCAUGGUUUGGCACCGCCCAACCAUGACUUUGACAUUCUCCCACUUGGAGGUUUGAUUGAGAAUCAAUCAAUCUCCACACCAUCCUUUCUGCUUCGCCAUAAUCAUAUUGCUUACGUUUCUACUAGGCUAUAAGAGGAUCUACUCCAGACAAACUUGUCAGCAUUGAUUGGCUUGGUCAAAACAUCUGUUAGGUUCUCUUUGGUAUGGAUUUUCUGCAAAUCAACAUUUUCAUCUUCCACUACUUCUCAAACGAAGUGAUACAGAACUCCUAUGUGCUUUGUCCUAGAAUGAAAAGUUAGAUUCCUUUCAAUGUGCAAAGCACUCUGACUGUCACAAAACACAGAAAUUUUCUUUUGUUUGUGCCCAAACUCCUUCAAUAACUUUUGUAUUCAAAUAACUUCCUUGCAAGCUUGUGUAGCUGCCAUGUAUUCUGCUUCUGUUGUAGAUAAUGCCACAACGGUUUGCAGUUUUGAAACCCAGCUUACAACUGCUCCCGCAAGUGUAAACACAUAGCUAGUACUAGAUUUUCUUUUAUCAACAUCCCUGCAAAAUCUGAAUCCACAUAGCCCCUAACAGUAAACUCUUAUCCUCCAUAACAUAAUGCGAUAUAUGAGGUUCCUCUGAUAUACCUCAGAAUCCUAUUCACAGCUAUCCAAUGCUCUCCACCAGGAUUCGCCAUAUAUCGACUGACUGCUCUCACUGCUUGUGCAAUGUCUGGUCUAGUAUAUAUCAUAGCAAACAUCAAACUUUUCACUGCUGAUGCAUACGGUACUCGAGACAUCUCAUUCCUCUCUACUUCAUUGCUAGGACACAUACUUGAGGAUAAUUUGAAAUUACAUUAAGUGGGGUAAAAAUUGGCUUAUAAUCGUGCAUGUUGAAGUGUCGUAAGAUUUUCUUCAAGUAGUUCUUCUGAGAAAGCCAAAUCUUUUUGUUAUUUCUAUCUUAGUGAAUUUGCAUCCCUAGAAUCUUGUUUGUUGGUCCCAAGUCCUUCAUUUCAAACUCCCUCACCAACUGUGCCUUCAAUUCUUGGAUUCGAUCUGUGUUGGGGCCUGCUACCAAUAUGUCAUCCACAUACAACAGCAAAAUAAUGAAAUCAUUAUCUUCAAACCUUUUGUAAUAUGCACAAUGAUCUGAACUAAGUCUGUUGUAUCCAAGACUCAUAAUGAAGGAAUCAAAUCUCUUAUACCAACACCUCGACGCCUGUUUGAGACUGUAUAUAGAUUUGUUCAACCUGCAAACCAAGUUUUCCUUUCCUGUUUCUGCAAAACCUUCUAGUUGGAGCAUAUAUAUUUCUUCUUCAAAUUCUCCAUGAAGAAAUGCAGUUUUCACAUUUAACUGUUCAAGAUGUAAGUCAAAUGUAGCAGACAUCGCCAAGACUACUCUGACUGUUGUAAGUUGAACCACCAGAGAAAAUAUCUCUUUAAAGUCAAUACCUUCUUUCUGAGCAUAUCCUUUCAUCACCAAUCUUGCAUGAUACUGCUCCACUUGGUUAUCACUAUCACGUUUGAUCUCGUAGACCCAUUUGUUUCCAAUAGCUUUUUUUCUAUGUAGUAAUGGUACAAGUUCCCAUGUCUUAUUCUUGUGUAGAACUUCAAUUUCUUCCUGCAUUGCUGUCAUCCACAAAGCAACAUCUGAGCUGUUGAAAGCUUCAUGAAAGUUUAUGGCUCUUCAUCCUCUGUUAGAAGACAAUAUGCAACAUUGAUAUAUGUGACAUAUUCCGAGUGCCACGCUGGCAGUCGUCUUUCACGAGUUGAUUGAUGAACUUCUGGAGCCUCGAACUCGACUAGUUCUUGUUCCUCGUGCUCUGGUGUUGCUUCAGAAGAAUCUAAAUCUUCUGGAUUAUUUUCCACAUAUAUCGGCACAGUCUCUGACUUUUCUUUUAUAGUGCCAUCAUCUGCAUCUUUCCUUUGCAGUUGAUAUUCUACAAAAAUAACAUCUCUGCUGAUGACGAUCUUGUAGGGAGUGGGGUCCCACAGAUUAUACCAUUUUACUCUAUUAGCAUAUCCCAAGAAGAUACAUCUUCUAGAUUUUAGAUCCAACUUUGCUCUUUUUUGGGCAUUGUACAUCACGUACACAAGACAUUUAAAUGCAUGUAGGUAGGAGUAAUCAGCUGGCUUUCCAGUCCACAUCUUCAUCUCUGUCUUCAGCCCAAUUGUAGUGAAUGGUAAUCGAUUUACUAUAUAAUAGACAGUUUUGGCUGCUUCUGCUAGAAAUGAAUUGGGUAUACCAGCAGUCCUCAACAUAGCUCUUAUUCGUUCUGUAAGAGUCAUGUUCAUCCGCUCUGUCACUCUAUUUUAUUUAGGAGUGUAUACCACCGCGAACUGCCUCUGAAUACCUCUUGCUUACAGAAAGCAAAAAACUCGUUGUAUACUCUCCACCAUUAUCUGUCCUUAAGCAUUUGAUCUUUUUACCAUAUUCAAGUUCCACCCGCACUUUGUAUUCUUUAAACAUUGGAAAUACAUCUGACUUUUUCUUAAUUGGAUAUACCCAAUAUCUCCUGGAAUAAUCAUCAAUGGAAGUCACCAUGUACUAUGCACCUCCAAUGGACAUAUCCGGCGAUUCUCAAACAUCAGAAUGAAUCAAGUCUAGAAUGCAUUUACUUUUAGCAACAGAUCUACUGAAUUUUAAUCUAAGCUGCUUACUUGUAACACAAUGCUCGCAAAAUGGUAAACUUACCAAUUUGAGCCCCGGAAACAAUUUUCGCUCAAAGAGAAUCUUCAAACCUUGCUCUGACAUUUGACCGAGUUUGAGGUGCCACAUCAUCAUUAAUUCUUCUCCAUUUAAUGCGACACACGCAUCAGCCUCCUGUAGUGUUUCUCCUUUAAGCAUGAAUAUAUUAGCACUGAUCCUUUCUGCCUUCAUCAAUACAACCGCGGCUUUAACAAUCUUUAUGAUCCUAUUUUCAAUAUGAGUUUUGCACCCAUGGCUGUCUAUUUGUCCCAAAGAGAAUAAAUUUUUCUUCAGACUUUUGACAUGUCGCACUUCCCCAAUUAUGCGAAUUGUACCAUCAAACAUUUUGAUUUUGAUAGUACCAAUACCAGCGAUCUCCAAUGCAUGAUCAUCUCUCAUAUAUAUCAUCCUCUUGAGAUAGAUUCAUAUGUGUGGAACCAUUCUCUUUGAGAGGUCAUGUGUCAGGUAACUCCUAAAUCUAUGAGCCAAACGUCAGAUAGUCGUUUUCUGCAUUUUGAAAUAGUUGUUGCAUUGCUGUAGAGAAUUUCACCAUCAUCUGAGGUACUUGCUACACACCUUUGAGCAUUUGAUGACUCAGGUUCUUUGCCUUUUUUUCUCUUCUAGUUACUCCAACACUCUUUCUUGACGUGCCCUUUCUUGCCACAGUCGUAGCAUUUAACAUUUUUCUUACUUCUAGAUUUUGAUCUACCAUGAUUGUGACUCCCAUUGGGGCCACGUUCUAUUGAUCUCUCUCUCGUCAUCGAUAGCGCCUCCGCUUGCUGCGAACUUGCUUGUCUGUUUUUCUUAUUUUUCCACAUACUCUCGUCAUUUAAUACGGAGGCUGCAACAUCGUCGAAAACCAGACUGUCCGCUAGAUUGUUGUUUGUUAAGUUGAUGAUGAGUUGAUCAUACGAAUCUGGUAGACUUUAAAGUAGAACCUCUGUACGUUCAUUUUCCUCUAUAUUAUGACCCAACGUGGUGAGUUGUGAAAAUAUAGUCACCAAGGUGUUGAUGUGGUCGGUCACCAUUGUAGAUUCCGCCAUUCGAAGAGUAUAGAGAUUCAUUUUCAAGAAGAUUUUGUUGUGUAGUGACUUGGCCUCGUACAAUUUUGUGAGAGUAUCUCAUAUUUCCUUCGCUGUAUUUUUCUCUGUCACACUGGAUAAUACUCCAUCCGCAAAUGCCAAGUAUAGAUUAGAAAUGGCAUUGCCAUUUAUCUCGUUCCACUUGUCAUCAGUUAUCUCCAUGGACAUUUCUCUAAUUGCUGCCAAGCAAUUAUUUUUCCUCAAUAUAGUUUUCAUUUUCAUUUUUCACAAUGAAAAAUUAUUCCCGUUGAACUUCUCAAUUUCAUACUUUACCACCAUUUUGUUGAUAAAUACCGCACACAAGCUCGUGUACCACCUUGAAUAGUUGUGAGUAUGUGUGAAUAUGCACACCAGGAAAGUUCCCAGAAAAGACUAGAGGUGUCACAAUGGUCCCACUUAAAACUCAGACUCAUUAGGUUCUUAUCGCCUUUGUGACAAAACUUUCCUAGACAUGUAUAAAACCACACAGUUGCUUUACUCACACCACUAUUCCUUGCUUUGCACCACAAAAUUCUUGGAUCGUUCCCACUGUUUCUCGUGAACAGUACCGUAUAUAUGAAUAGUAUCGUAUACGUGAAUAGUAUUUUAUGUGUGAACAGUAUCCCUUACGUGAACAGUACCCGACUCCAAAAAAUUCAACAAAUAGCCCUGAUACCACUGUUAGAAAAUUGAUGGGUGAAGCAGGGCCGCGGCUAAAAUAAAAUUGGAAGAAAAUAAAGAAUAAACACAAAAGAUGACACCAGGAAAUUACGUGAUUAUGCUUUUAGCCUACGUCCACGGGCGAAGACAGAAAGAAAAUAUUUCACUAGUAAAAUGAGGAUUACAAGUAUUGUAAUAUUUUAGCUCACUACCCAGAACUUCAAUACACCCAAUCUCUCAAAUCACUAAAACAAUAGUUUAAAACUCUAACACUCUCAACUCUCAAUUCUUUUCACAAAUGAAUUAGAGAGCUCUA
rnacentral:lncRNA from 1 species